rnacentral:lncRNA from 1 species
UUUUCUUUUCUCCUUUUUUAUUUUUAUUUUUGGACUCAAAGCACCCUUUGCGGGUUUUCACCUUGGUCUAUUUUUUUUAGGAAUCAAGGCGCCCUUUGCGGGUUUUCACCUUGUUCCCUUCUCCUUCUUCAAGUGAAGUAAUACUUGACUAAAUCUGAGUUUGCAGGAUUUGACAAGUUUUUACCAUCCAUCCUACUCAAGAUCAGAGCUCCUCUGGAAAAGGCCUUUGGCAUCCCUUUUUCCUCUAAAAUCCUUUUUUAUAGGAAGAAUCUUUUCC